rnacentral:lncRNA from 1 species
CGAUUAACACCCAGGCUCAGCCGGAGGAGGAGCAGGAGGGCGUCCACGGCGGCAGGCGGCGUCGCCGGAGCGCAGGUGGAGGCGGCGCUGAACCGCAAGAACGUGGAGGCGCUCCCGGAGGACGAGACGGUGGAGGGCGGCCCGGAGGACGCUCUGGUGGACGAGGCUGCCGUCUCCGGCACCAAAAACCACGACCACUGCGGAGCGGCGGCGGCCGGCGGCUCGCCGUCGGUGCUUGACCAGGCUGUGUUCGUCCACGAGGAGGACAUGGAGGACGUCGAGAGGCCGGCCGUCGACAUGGCCGCUGCCAAUCACAAGCCCAAAUAA